CCUGGUGGCUCAGACGGUAAAGCAUCUGCCUACAAUGCAGGAGACCUGGGUUUAAUCCCUGGGUCAGGA
rnacentral:tRNA from 1 species